rnacentral:rRNA from 1 species
GAGAGCCCCGNCUGNNUGGCCACCGAGCCUCUGUAAAGCUCCUUCGACGAGUCGAGUAGUUUGGAAAUGCUGCUCAAAAUGGGAGGUAUAUGUCUUCUAANGCUAAAUAUUGGCCAGAGACCGAUAGGGCACAAGUAGAGUGAUCGAAAGAUGAAAAGCACUUUGAAAAGAGAGUUAACCAGUACGUGAAAUUGUUGAAAGGGAAGCGCUUGUGACCAGACUUGGUCUCGGGGAAUCAUCGGGGGUUCUCUCCGGGGCAUUUCGCCGUGUUCGGGCCGGCUUCAGUUCGGC